GGGCGAUUAGCUCAGUUGGUAGAGCAGCUGACUCUUAAUCAGCGGGUCGAGGGUUCGAGUCCCUCAUCGCCCCCCA
rnacentral:tRNA from 1 species